GUAUAUACGGUAUGUAGUUGGAAGAGACCACAAGAGCCAUCAAUUCCAAUCCUCUGCUAAAAUUGGGCCAUUUGAAGGAUAUGAGUCCAAUGAUUACAUUGGCCCAGAUUAAGGAUGCAUCUACACUGUGGAAUCAAUGCAGUUUGAUAUCACUUUAACUGCCAAGGCUCAUUGCUAUGAAAUCCUGGCAGUUGCAGUCUGGUGAGGUACCAGCACUUUUUGGCAGAGAAGGCUGAAGACCUUGUAAAACUACAAUUCCUAUGAUUCAAUAGCAUUGAGCUUUGGCUGCUUUGAAAUCAUGGAAGUUGUAAUUUUACAAUGUCUUUAGUCUUGUCUGCUAAAGAGUGCUAGUUUAUCCCAAACUGCAAAUCCCAGUGUUCUCCUUCAUUGGUGGACUCUCCUUUUCUGGAGGUAUUUAAACAGAGGUUGGAUGGUCACCCUUUGGAAGUGCUUUGACUGUGCAUUUGUAUAUAGCAGAGGGGUGGACUGGAUGGCCCUUGAGGUCUCUUCCAACCUUAUGAUUGUAUAACAUGUUAGAUCCUCCAAUGCAACGUCUGGGGGAAGGAUAACAUAGAAUCACCCAGAGGCCCUAAUAAAUUUUCAGAGAGACUAUUGAUUGUGGUUUUGAAAUUACAGGGGUCCUAUUGUAUAAUGCAAAGCUAGGCCAUCUGCUUUUGUCAGAGGAAGAUCAGGCCUAGAAUUUCUAAUGCAGACCCAUAUUAAGUAACACCGGCAUUGCCCUGGCACUUAUUCAGAUUCCCCGCAGAAAGCUUCAUUGUUGGAACUUGCCUCCAUACUUGUUUUCCUUUCUUUGAUCCCAAUUAAUCAUUUCUAUUCACUUUGUGGAUGGCCUUGUAUGUAUUCUACAAAGCCUUGUUUACUUCUGUUUUGCCCGUAGCUGUGCUGACUUCUCCGGCACAAAAGGCUGCCUUUUGAUUCCGAUGAAGGGCACUGACAAUUCUACCCACGCCUGAAUUCACAACCUUACAGAACGCCUGUCAACUUCCAAGCUGCCAAUGGGUCUUAAACCAGGUGACCUGAAGAAUACCAGAUUAGAGAGAUGGGCCGAAACUAACAAAAUGAAGUUCAACAGGGACAAAUGCAAGAUACUUCACUUCGGCAGAAAAAAUGGAAUGCAAAGAUACAGAAUGGGGGACGCCUGGCUCGACAGCAGUACGUGUAAAAAAGAUCUUGGAGUCCUUGUGAACAACAAGUUAAACAUGAGCCUACAAUGUGAUAUGGCAGCGAAAAAAGCCAAUGGGAUUCUAGCCUGCAUAAAUACGGGUAUAGCAUCUAAAUCCAGAGAAAUCAUGCUACCCCUCUAUUCUGCCUUGGUCAGGCCACAUCUGGAAUACUGUGUCCAAUUUUGGGCACCACAGUUGAAGGGAGAUGUUGACAAGCUGGAAAGCGUCCAGAGGAGGGCAACUAAAAUGAUCAAGGGUCUGGAGAACAAGCCCUAUGAGGAGCGGCUUAAAGAGCUGGGUAUGUUUAGCCUGCAGAAGAGAAGGCUGAGAGGAGACAUGAUAGCCAUAUACAAAUAUGUGAGGGGAAGUCAUAGAGAGGAGGGAGCAAGCUUGUUUUCUGCUGCCCUGGAGACUAGGACGUGGAACAACGGCUUCAAACUACAAUAAAGGAGAUUCCACCUGAACAUGAGGAAGAACUUCCUCACUGUGAGAGCUGUUCAGCAGUGGGACUCUCUCCCCGGACUAUGGUGGAGGCUCCUCCUUUGGAGGCUUUUAAGCAGAGGCUGGAUGGCCAUCUGUCGGGGGUGCUUUGAAUGAGAUUUUCCUGCUUACUGCAGGGGGUUGGACUGGAUGGCCCGUGAGGUCUCUUCCAACUCUACGAUUCUAUGAUUCUAUGUUUUUAUUCUUUGUAUUGUAUAUUGGCAUUGAAUCUUGCCAGACUGUGAGCUGCCCUGAGUCCCUUCGGGUGAGAAGGGCAGCAUAGAAAUGAUGGAAAUACAUAAAUAAAUAAAUUUUACAGUUCAGAAACCUAGUUGCCUUGCAGGAACAUCAUUUUUCAAAAAGGUUAUGACUUCUAACGAGGUCAUACCUUUCCAAAAAUCAUAAAAUCUCCAAAAGGUUAUGGAGAUUUUCAUUUUCCAAAAACUAUACUUAAACUUAAGUAGCAAGUACUUCACUGUGCAUAGGUUGCAAUUAUCUUUCAUUUGAUAUCUCCAAAGCCUUUGGUAUUAUUAAACUUUUGGAGAUGGAAACAUUGUGUCUGCCCUUUUAAGUGAUGCUGCUUGUUGGAAGUGGUAAACCUCCAAUAUUAUUAUUUAUUAUUAUUUACAGUAUUUAUAUUCCGCCCUUCUCACCCCGAAGGGGACUCAGGGCGGAUUACAAUGAACACAUAUAUGGCAAACAUUCAAUGCCAACAGAUAAACAACAUACAGUAGAGACAGACACAGAGGCAUUUAACAUUUUUCCAGCUUCACGAUUCUGGCCACAGGUGGAGCUGUUGUUUCACUGUCCACUAGUGGCUGUACUUCCUCAUUUCUUUCGUUGUGUUUUGCUGGCAGUUUUAUGAUGUUGUAAAUUAGUUAAAUUAGCCUCCCGCAUAAAGCGUACCUAAAUUUCCCUACUUGACAGAUACAACUGUCUUUCGGGGCUGCAUAGGUCAACAGCAAGCCGGGCUAUUUAAUGGUCGGGAGCUUAACCCGACCCGGGCUUCGAACACAUGACCUCUCGGUAAGUAGUGAUUUAUUGCAGCUGGUUACUAGCCAGCUGCGCCACAGCCCGGACCUUAUAGAAGUUAACUCAAAUGGAUGCAUCUACCCUGUAGCAUUAAUGCUGUUCAAUGCCACUUUAACUGCCAGGGCUCAGGUCUGUGGAAUCACGGAAGCUGUAAUUUUACAACUUCCUUAGUCUUCUCUGCCAAAGAGUACUGAUGCCUCACGAAACUACAAAUCCCAAGAUUCCAUAGCGUUGGGCCAUGGCAAUUAAAGUGGUGUCAAAUUGCUUCAAUUCUAUCACGUAGAUGGCUUGUUACGUGGUACUUUAUUGAGAAAGACUAUGAAUCUUUGGGCUUAUGCUUGACAAUCUGGGUGGAAAACCAAGAGGAGGUUUAAAAUCAGAAUGUUUUCUUUUAAUUGCCUUUCUUUAAAAUAAAUUAAUAUAUAACCAACAAGGUGUUUUUUCUUCCUUAUGUCUCAUACCUUUUUUCUUUAAAAAUGGAACCUACAGGAAUAGAAAUUUAAUUUUGACAUAUUUAUGGAAGCCAGAGACUUGUAUAAAGUUAACUGGAAAACCCACCCUGUCCCAACAUGUAGCGAGAAAGCAAGUUUGCACAAUUAAGGUAAAUGCACUGAGGCCUCCAAGCCUGAUUUUUUGAAGUGAUAAUGCAGAUCAUGUUUAAGGAGUUUCUCAGGAAAACAAGAACACCUUCACCUCUAAAAUUAAAAAGCCUUGCAUCCCCUCAUUUCCUUUAUGUAUCUACAAAGUGUUUCAAGGUUCAAACUCACACAGAUCUAAUGCAACUGGGCAGGUGUUGCUCAAUGUUCAAUGUUCAUGUUAUAACUAUGAAGCAUGGUCUUAAAUGAGCACCCCCCCUCAAUAAAAUGCUCAUUAAAUUUGU